AUUACUAAGCGGAGGAAAAGAAACUAACAAGGAUUCCCCUAGUAACGGCGAGUGAAGCGGGAUCAGCCCAGCACCGAAUCCCUGGUCGCUAGCGCAGCCAGGGAACUGUGGCGUUGGGGACAUCCGCUUGCUUGGCAUGCCGCGCGCUCGAGUUCUCUUGAUUGGGGCUUCGCCCAGAGUGGGUGUCAGGCCUGUACGGCGCGUUUGGCUGCUCGGCUUGAGGUGUCCCAGGAGUCGGGUUGUUUGGGAAUGCAGCCCUAAGUGGGUGGUAAACUCCAUCUAAGGCUAAAUACUGACACGAGUCCGAUAGCGGACAAGUACCGUGAGGGAAAGUU
rnacentral:rRNA from 1 species